rnacentral:snRNA from 1 species
UUAUCUUAUUAAAAAAUUAGUAUAACGAAUAUGUAAUAGUAUAAAUUAAAGAUUAUAGUUUCUUUUAUGAUAAAACAAAUCACAAUAAAAUAAAUUAUAUAUAUUUUUUAGUAAGACAAAUGCUCAAACAUCACGUCAAAAGUUAAUAAUUUAUUUAUUUAUUUAUUUUAUUUUCAAAACUA